GAUGAAGAACGUAGCGAAAUGCGAUACUUGGUGUGAAUUGCAGAAUCCCGUGAACCAUCGAGUCUUUGAACGCAAGUUGCGCCCGAAGCCACUAGGCCGAGGGCACGCCUGCCUGGGCGUCACACGUCGUUGCCCCCCCCCCCAUCUACUCCUUCGGGAUUGCGGGGGGCGGAUGAUGGCCUCCCGUGCGCCUAGCCGCGCGGUUGGCAUAAAUACCAAGUCCUCGGCGACGCACGCCACGACUAUCGGUGGUUGCGAAACCUCGGUUGCCCGUCGUGUGCGUUCGUCGCGCAUCGAGGGCUCGAAAAAAUGCUCGGCUCCGGCUCGGCUUUCAACGCGACCCCAGGUCAGGCGGGGUUACCCGCUGAAUUUAAGCAUAUCAUAAGCGGAGGA
rnacentral:misc_RNA from 1 species